rnacentral:rRNA from 1 species
UGGGGGAUAUUGCACAAUGGGCGAAAGCCUGAUGCAGCGACGCCGCGUGGGGGAUGAAGGCCUUCGGGUUGUAAACUUCUUUUGCUCUGAACAAGGCGCACCAUGGGGUGUGUUGAGUGUAGGGGUUGAUUAGCGCCGGCUAACUACGUGCCAGCAGCCGCGGUAAUACGUAGGGCGCGAGAGUUGGCCGGAAUUAUUGGGCGUAAAGGGAUUGUAGGUGGCUGGUUGCGUCUGUCGUGAAAGCUCAUGGCUUAACUGUGGGUUUGCGGUGGGUACGGGCUGGCUUGAGUGCAGGAGAGGAGGCUGGAAUUCCUGGUGUAGCGGUGGAAUGCGCAGAUAUCAGGAGGAGUACCGGUGGCGAAGGCGGGUCUCUGGGCUGUUACUGACACUGAGGAGCGAAAGCAUGGGGAGCGAACAGG